rnacentral:rRNA from 1 species
AGUGAACGCUGGCGGUAGGCCUAACACAUGCAAGUCGAACGGCAGCACAGUAAGAGCUUGCUCUUGCGGGUGGCGAGUGGCGGACGGGUGAGGAAUACAUCGGAAUCUACUUUUUUGUGGGGGAUAACGUAGGGAAACUUACGCUAAUACCGCAUACGACCUACGGGUGAAAGCAGGGGAUCUUCGGACCUUGCGCGAUUGAAUGAGCCGAUGUCGGAUUAGCUAGUUGGCGGGGUAAAGGCCCACCAAGGCGACGAUCCGUAGCUGGUCUGAGAGGAUGAUCAGCCACACUGGAACUGAGACACGGUCCAGACUCCUACGGGAGGCAGCAGUGGGGAAUAUUGGACAAUGGGCGCAAGCCUGAUCCAGCCAUACCGCGUGGGUGAAGAAGGCCUUCGGGUUGUAAAGCCCUUUUGUUGGGAAAGAAAAGCAGCAGGUUAAUACCCCGCUGUUCUGACGGUACCCAAAGAAUAAGCACCGGCUAACUUCGUG